rnacentral:rRNA from 1 species
AUACGUAGGGUGCAAGCGUUAAUCGGAAUUACUGGGCGUAAAGCGUGCGCAGGCGGUUUUGUAAGACAGUGGUGAAAUCCCCGGGCUCAACCUGGGAACUGCCAUUGUGACUGCAAGGCUGGAGUGCGGCAGAGGGGGAUGGAAUUCCGCGUGUAGCAGUGAAAUGCGUAGAUAUGCGGAGGAACACCGAUGGCGAAGGCAAUCCCCUGGGCCUGUACUGACGCUCAUGCACGAAAGCGUGGGGAGCAAACAGGAUUAGAUACCCUGGUAGUCCACGCCCUAAACGAUGUCAACUGGUUGUUGGGUCUUCAUUGACUCAGUAACGAAGCUAACGCGUGAAGUUGACCGCCUGGGGAGUACGGCCGCAAGGUUGAAACUCAAAUGAAUUGGCGGGG